CCAGGUUCUAAAACCUUAUAACUCCUUUCAUUACAAAUAACGAUAAUUACAUUAUCCUUUACAUCUUACACGAGUGACUUUCAUCCGCCACUAAGGAUACCUAACAGUUCAUUAAACUAAUCUAAAGUUCAUUUAACUUAUUUUAUAUUACAAGUCUUCACUUGAUCUUCUCGCUCAUUCCCAUUCUGAAUGGCACUCCAUCUGGAUACCGUCAGCUUGAUCUUUACGGGAUCCUUAAGUUCGUCUAACAUCGUUCGCUGAAAAUAUUUUUCAUUUAAAGCAAGUAUGAGCAUUCAAUUUUCCAGCAAGUCAUAUAGUUGAACAAACAUCUUCAAGAAUUUAAACAUUCUUUUAAGACUUCAAUAACCGAACAAAGGUUAUGAAGCAGCUUGAAUAAUAAGAAUAAUCUUGAUUCGUAUCAUUUUAAAACAAUAUUCACUAUCAUUUUAAAAUACUUUUUUAAAACAAUAUUCACUAUCAUUUUAAAAUACUUUCAUUCUUCUACCUUUUUCAUACACAUUCUGUCUGGCUAGAAUCAUUAGCACAAACUUAACAAUAACGGAUCAUGUAUAAACAGAGCAUUCUCUUAUUGAAUAGUUAAAUCACAGAACAGUUCAUCUUAUAGAAACACCGAAGUGUUCACAUUGUGGCACAAGGCCUCAUAUGUUCUACCACCUUGUACAAAUAUCGCAUAUUCGCACAUAGAAAGAACUUCUCAAGUUCAACAUCUGAGAAGUUUAAGAAACUAGCAUUCAUUUAAAAUAUGAAUGAAGUUAGGAAACUUGCUUUACGCACAGCUACAGCUUACGCUGAACUGCUCAUUCUAGUUCCUAAGUAGCACAUAAGAAAAACAACAUAUACACUAAUUAGUCAUGUAUAUUUGACUUAUGCAUUAGUUUUCUUAACUUUACUUCUUAGGGUUCGCGUUCUUGUAACCUAAGUUUAUGCGACCACUUUCAUUACCGUUCUACGGCUUCAUGACAUACGAAGAUGUCUUACUUUUAUAUUCAUCAUCUUUGAUGUUUUACAUCUUAUCUUUGUGGCGACCCCAAAUCCGGAUACUUGAAACCCGAACUCGGUUCUCCACGAUACCAUUUCUUUAAGCUGAAUAAUACUAAAUAAUAAUACAUUCGAACUUAAUUUACAUACAUCAAAGUUUACUUCCCCAGGUACGUGACCUUCAAAUACAUUCCUUACAAUACUUGAAUAGAUACCAAUACAACUAUAACCAUUAACUCAUAAUACACACUUAUUCGAUCAGCUUUCCUUUUCCUUUGUUCGUGCCUGAGCCUUCAGGUUGCUCAUACAUAACUGAAAACAUUUAAUUUAAGCAAGGAUGAGCAUUUGAGUGCCCAGCAAGUAAUAGCAAUUAUAUAUAUAAGCUGAAAGAAUAUAAGUAUUCUCUUUACAUAACACUUCUACAACGAAUCAAAAGUUGUGAAGUAAUCUGUACUGAUAAAAGAUUCACAUAACAACUCUCUUUCAAUUUCUUGAAAUUAGGCUCCACCCAUGAAUAGGGUUUAAGAAACAUACUAUGAACAUUGUUUUUCAUUUUCGAAAAGGUUUAGCAGAAAUUCAUCCGCAAACCGUCAUAACUUACGGGCACGGAGGGUGAUCAGCCCCGUUGUACCCUGUAUUGAUCAAUACUACAUAACUUGAACGAAAUUCAUCGCUCACUCUAUCCGCCUUGGGCGCAAAAAUCUUCCCAUAUAGGGAUGUUCAUACAUGCCUGGUUCCAAACCCGAAGGUUUUUAAUCUUGCUCAACAAUAAUAUGUAAUUCAACAUAUAUGUAUACGGGUAAUUGACAAAGGUAUAUCAACAUGUGAAUAAAUGCCAUGAUUAUCCAAGUGGGGACACUUGUAUAACCAUUUAGAAAUCAACUUAACAGAAUAUAUAUCUGAGCUAACAUGUUGAUAAUCAAAGCGUACAUAAUCUGUACAGGAAUAGAAUAAUUCUGAAACUUCUUACUCAUGUCCAUUGCAUAAAGGAAAUGCAAAGGUAAGAUACUUGCCUGAUUCGCUGAUUACAAAUCUCAACUUAGGUUUUAUCUCUUUAUCACAACCUAUCAAUAAUCAGAUCAUUCGUUCGAUUAGAACAAUAUAUCAUAACACAUAGUACUGUCUAUUACAGUCAGCACAUAGUCUAAUCACGUCAUCACAUAAUCGCAGUGAUCAUACUUUUAGUUCAUAUUCUAUACUUGAAAUAUUUUUAUACAUUUUUCAAAUAUCUCAUCCAUGCUCUUACAGAAGUCUUUUCUUUCUAUUAUAGGGUCUGACAUUUGUCGGCGUACCGACAGCUUUAUCGGGUAAAUACUGAGUCUAAGACUCUUAUCCUAUACCUCAACAUCUGUAAAUAUCAAACAUUUUAUUUUUAAUCAUUUUCGAAUUUUCCAGAAAUUGAAAAAUUUAAAAUAAUUCAAAUCUGUCACUACCGGGCCUAUAGUGAUAUAACUGUUACUAUAGGUGUUCCUCAAAACUUCAUAACUUCAUAAUCGGUUCUCAAGUCAGCUAGUUUGGCCGGCUAUAACUUUCAAACAUCGGAAUCAUAAUUAAAUGAUUUAAACAUUAAACAAUUCCAUUAUCAUUAAUAAUUAAUUUAUAUUAAACUAUUAAUGAAACCAUUGCCAAAAUAUAAAAGUUAUUUAUAAUAACUCAAACUAUUUUUAAAACAUUUAUAUUACCCUUAAAUGAUUUUUAAAACAAUUAAAAUCAUUUUUAAAUAAUCACCAUUAAUAUAUAAAUAUUAAUGUACUAUUCAUCCAAAUAUUAAAAGUCAUUAAUUAUAACUUAAAAUAUUUUUAAAUCCUUAAUAUCCUCUUUAAAUGAUUUUUAAAUAAAUAAAACCAUUUUUAAACUAUUUAUUUAAUAAUAAUUAUUAAAUAAACUAAAUAUCAUUAAUAUUAUCUUAAUAUCAUUAAUAUUAAAUUAUUAAUGAAAUUAUCCUUUAAAUAUUAAAAGUUAUAUUUUAUAACUUAAAAUAUUUUUAAAUACCUUAAUUUCAUUUAAAAUGAUUUUUAUAAUAUUAAAAUCAUUUUUAAACUAAAUUAUUUAAUAUAAUCAUUAAAUAACUUUAAUAUCAUUAAUAUAUAAUUAAUUAAUGAAAUUCAUCACAAAAUAUUAAAAGUCAUGGAAAAUAACUUAAAAUAUUUUCUUAUACCAUAAAAUAAUUUUUCAUGAUUUUUCAUGAAUUAAAACUAUUUUUAAAUCAUUUAUUUAAUAUUAUAAUUAAAUAAAUAAAUACCUUUUAUAUUCCAAAAAUAUUAAAUAUUUAUGAAAUAUACUCAAAAUAAUUAAAAACUAUUUUUCGGACUUUAAAAUAAUUUUUUAGAAUUUAAUAAGUAUUUUUAAUAAUUAAAAUCUAAUUUUUCUAAUUUUUAAAUCAUUUUCGGAAAUUACAGAAAAUAAAAUAAAUAAAAUCCGUCGCUAAAGGCUAUAGCGACAGACAACCGUCGCUAUAGGUGUUCUUCAUCUCAAGAACACUGUCAGAGACAGUUCAAGGAGGCUACUUUGACCAUGAAUAACUUUUUGGUCUUAAUGAAUCUGGGCAAUCUAUGAAUUGGGUCUUGUAGAGGAAAUACCAGACUACAAUUACCAACAAUCAUAACCUCUAAAAAACAUCAGAUCUGGGAGAAAUCGUACCUCAAAGUAGCUGUCAGAGCUGUUCUUCGUGAAGAACAGUUCGUGAUGCCUACUUUGGACCUCUAUAACUUGAUGAUCGUGAAAUGUUUACGUGAUCUAUCAAUUCCAGUGUGUAGAAAACAUGUAGGACUACAACUCCAACACUUAACAUCAUCAUAACAACAAUAAAUCAAGCAUCUAAAGUAUGGUCAAACCUUGUAAGAAAAAUCAACACUUAGAAAAUUCUGGGCUGCCCAGAAUUUUCCGGUCAAUGCCGGUCAACCCAGUUUGACCUUAAAUAACUCUUAAUCCAUAAUAUAUAUGGACCUGAUUUGUUUUGGAGGUUAAAUACCACAUAACAAGCUACACAUAACAACCUUUAUAACACAAAACACAUUAAAGAUAACCGAAAUAUAAGGCCUGACAUUUUCCAAAAUAAUAUUUUCUGGACACUUAGAAUAUUUUCUGGGUUUGAAGAACAGCUGGUCAAUGCCGGUCAACUCACUUUGACCGCUUAUAAAUCCCGAUCUACAAUAGCUAUGAACUUUAUUCCUUUUGGAGAUUAAAUACCACAUAUCAGGCUACCUAUAACAACUUUUAAACAACAAAACUCGAGAUCGACCAAAGAGUUAUAGCCUCUGACAUUUGGUGAAAAAUAACAGAAUUCGGUUUUUCCAACUUGCUCAAAUCUUCAAAUUCGUGCACUUUGAUGUUAUGGGUUCAUGAUUUUACAACCCAGAACAUUAAUAGACUCUCUAUUACACUACUUUAAACAAUCAAUUGCAUCAAUUAACGUCGAAUCAAAGGAUUUCAAAAUUAGGGAAUUUCAUACAUUUUCUCACUUUGAUUUCUUGAUUUCUGACUUUGAUCUUGUGUUUUUGAUGCUUGUGAUCGUGGGGCUGUACUUAGGAGUGCAUGGGCAAGUGUUUUUGGGAGCUAAGAGGUUGAGAGAGCAUAGCUAGAAGAGUUGGGCAAUUUUAGUGUACAAAUGAGCUUAAUCCUCACUUAAUCUCUAUUUAUAGAAUAAUUCAAAUGCCUUGGAUGCU
rnacentral:lncRNA from 1 species